rnacentral:lncRNA from 1 species
CCCAAAGAAACCUUUUGAUGUCAGUUCUUUUUUGCUCUGAGAAGAAUUUGAAACCUCUUGCCUCUUCUUUAGAGAGGAUUAUUAAUGGUCCUAUAAACUGAAGUUUAAAUUUGGAAACAUUUCUAAUCAGAGGAACGAGCACUGGGCCUGGAGUCAGAAGGCCUGGGUUCUGGUCCUGGAUGUUCAAUGGAGAAACCACUAAGACCUGCUUUGGCAUCAGGUUUGGCUUUUUUUUUUUUUUUUUCCAUAAAGCAGAGAUAUGUGACUACAGAAAAUCUAGGAUUCCUUCCUAUGAUUCCACCCACGGCAAAUACCCCACACAGUCAGAACUGAGAACAGGAAACCUGUCAUCAAUGGAAAGCCCAUCUCCAUCUGCCAGGUGCGAGAUCCUGCCAACAUCAAAUAGGGUGAUGACUAUGCUGAGUAUGUUAUGGGGUCCACUGGGGUCUUUACCACCAUGGAGAAGCCUGGGGUUCACUUGAAGGAUGGGACCAAGAUGGUCAUCAUCUCUGUCCCUUCUGCUGAUGCUCCCAUGUGCAAAUAUGGAUAUGAACCAUGCAUGAGAAGUAUGACAACUUCCUCAAGAUUGUCAGCAAUGUCUCCUGCACCACCAACUGCUUGGCUCCUCUGACCAAGGUCAUUCAUGACAACUUCAGCAUCAGGGAGGGACUCAUGACCACAGUCAAUGCCAUCACUGCCACCCAAAAGACCAUGGACAGUCCCUCUGGGAAGUUGUGGCAUCAUGGCCAAAGGGAUGCUUAGAAUAUCAUACCCUCUUUUACUGGCUCUGCCAAGGCUAAAGGCAAGGUCAUCCCUGAGCUGAAUGGGAAGAUAACUGGCAUGGCUUUCCGGGUCCCCACCCCUAACAUGUCAGUCAAGGAUCUGACUCGCCACCUGGAGAAAGCUGCUAGAUAUGAUGACAUCAAGGAGCUUGGUGAAGCAGCCAUCAGAGGGCCCUCCCAAGGGCAUCUUCAGCCACAUUGAAAACCAGGUUGUCUCCUGUGACUUUAACAGUGACAGUUACUUUUCCACCUUCAAUGCUGGGGCCGCCAUUCCUCUCAAUGACCACUUUGUCAAGCCCAUUUCCUGGUAUGACAGUAAAUUUGGCUACAGCAAUGGGGUGAUGGACCUUAUGGUCCACAUGGUCUCCAAAGAGUAAGAGCCCCCUAGACCACCAGCCCCAGCAGGGGGAAGAGAGAGACCCUCAGCUGCUGGAAAGUUGUUGCCCCAAUUCCUCCCCCAACAUACUGAGAAUCUCCCAACCUCCACAGUUUCCACCCCAGACCCCCAGAAGAAGGGGAGGAGCUUGGGGAGCUCCACUUUGUCAUGUGUGAUCAAUACUGUACUCAGACAAAAAAAAAUCAGCACAGUGAAGAAGUCUAUAAAAACAAUGAAGAAUGAACAAAUGAAUGAAUGAAUUGCAUCUCACAUUAUUACUUUUACAGUUUUCACCAUGGACUCAAUAAUGACGAAAAUAAAGGCAAGAAAACAGGUUUGAUAAUGAGAAACUAGUAUUAGGUCAUGCCAAACCUUUCUUCUUUCCCUCCCUCUUGCCCUCUUUCCUUUCUUCCUUCUUUCCUUUCAUUUUUUUCUUUCUUUCACUCUUUGAAACCCCCAGACACACCUGUUAGAUAAAUUCUAUGUAAUUCUCUUAUGACAGAGCCAUAAGGUCAAAUUCAACUUAGAGAGGCAUGCUGCUUAUUUCUAUAUGAUGUCUUCAUGAGGUUAAUAUGUCAUUUUAUGUUUCUAAGCCCAACUUCACAGACAAGAUCAAGAUGCAGUAAGACCACAAACAUUCACCAGCUACAAACUUAGUAGAGUCAAGUGCAUAAUGGUAAGCAGCCCCCAACUAAAGAAGGGGUUAUCUUCCCAAAGGCAGCUUAUUCACUGGUCAUUUAGAAUUGGGAAUCUGUUUCUCAUUUUUCCCAGGGCAAGUUUGCAAAUAUACAAAUACACAUUACACUAAUAACACCAUGAUUUCUACCUCAUCAAACAGUAAUAUAUCACUAAUAUCAGUAUUUCUUAUGGGAAAAGACAAAUAUGAGGCUCAACUUGGUUUCUCACGAGCCCGUCCUUCUUUUCUCAAGCAGUAUGAGCAGACUUCCCAGAACUGAAGCUAGCUCACUGGGACAAUCCCACUCCAAGAUUUCCAAACUAGAGACCAAAAGAAAUGAAGGAAAUUUUUCAUCUUCAUGGGAUCAGAGAAAGCAGAACCACAAAACGUAGACUGUCCUGCCUUCUUCAACACACACACACACACAUACACACACACACACACGCCCAUGCAUACACACUUUUCCUUGUGUCACCAAAAUCCAACCAUAAAUUGGUCAAUUGUAGGCUAACGCUGUCUGUAAUGAUAAUAAUAACUGCGCUUCAGUAGCCUCAAGAAAUAUAGCAUUAGUGUUAUGGAAUAUAUUUCCUAUUAGCAUUUUUAUUAUUUGCAGCAUAAUUUAUUAUAAAACCAAUUUAAUUCCAUUUAACCUAUCAAAUAAAACUAGCAUGGUUAAAUUAAACUUUGCAGGGUAUGAAAUAACUUAAGGAGAGCUUUAGAAAAGGAGAUUGGAAGAACCCAGAAAUUAUAUUUAUUCCUUACACAUAAUUCAAAACAAGAUGAAAAUGUAGUGCAAGGCUGCAAACUUGCGUAUUUUUUGUCAGAUACAGAUUACAUGUCUUAACAUAAGCAAAUGCAGGAGACUGCAACAAAGGUGAUGAUAGCAUUUAUUAAUUGCUGUUUCUUAUGCUUAUAUUUAAACUUCUUAAUCAAGAAUAUUUGAACAGCCUACAUUGUGUGUCUAUUUAAGGUUCACUUUGCAUAAACUACUGAAAAAAAUAAAAGCAUCUAUCUUGAUCAGAGUUAUUAGGACACCAGUGAAAUAUUUUCACAGCUCUGCUCUCUCCUGAGGGCACAGUCUUGAAAUUCAGCACUUUGGGGAAAUAUGGGUAUUAGCUAAUAGUGAUUCAUUAAAAAGUGCAUAGUGGUUCAAUAAAGAAGUUCUUAACUCACUCAAUUAACUUAGUAGAUUAACACAACCAGAAUUUCCCUCUUGGGCAUCUAAGUUUUGUUUUCACUCUAACCUUUAGAUGAGUCCAGGUUUGAUGUAAAGAGAUCUAUUAAUCUAUGUCAUAGCAUGGUGGUUAAGAAAAUGGGAUUUGGAAUUGAGCCUGGAUAAAUCUUCAUACGCCUUUAGGAGUUGUGUGGCCUACGGCAGAUAUCUUAACCUCUCAGUGCUUCAGCUUCCUGCUCUGGAAACUGGAGUUCUUCAUUUGUUGAAUACCUACUAUGUGCCAAGCACUCUUCUAAGAGCUGGGAACAAAUUAAAGAACACAUAUGGUCCAAAUUCUCAGGACGUUUACAUUCAAAUGGGUGGAGAUAGAAAGUUUUUGAAAUUAAUCGACAUGAACAUUUUUGGGGAGAAUUAGGUGUUAGGGUGAAAAUAAAGCAGAGUGAUGUGACAGAGGUAUAAGGAGGUACUCUGGACAGAGUUGUCAGGCUAACCCUCUCUGGGAGGUGAGAUUUCAUCCAGAACAUGAAUGACAAGAAGGAGCCAUCCAUGCUGAGGUCUAGGAGAAGAGCUGUCCAGACAGAGGUAAGAGCUGAUGGAAAAGCUCCAAGGAGGGAACUGCGUUGGUGUGUUUCAAGAACAGAACGAGGCAGAGUAAGUAGGAAAGAAGCAGGACAUGACGUAGAGAGAGGUGGGAUUAUGCUGAGCCUUAGGGGCCCCAGUUUGGGAUCUGGUUUUUAAGUCCAGUGGGAAGUCAUUAGAGGAUUUGCAUCUGGGUGGUUGUAAAGAUUAAAUGAGAUAACUUCUUUUUUUUUUUUAUGACAGUCACACACAGAGAGAGAGAGAGGCAAAGACAUAGGCAGAGGGAGAAGCAGGCUCCAUGCACCGGGAGCCCGACGUGGGAUUCGAUUCCGGGUCUCCAGGAUCGCGCCCUGGGCCAAAGGCAGGCGCCAAACCGCUGCGCCACCCAGGGAUCCCCAAAUGAGAUAACUUCUGUGAAGGCCUCCACACAGUAAAUGCAUGACACAUAGUGCACAAUCAAGAAGUGUUGUCAUCAUCAUUGCUACUUGAACAACUCUGAUGUAUAACACUGGAAGUGAGGCCCAAAAUGUUCAUUCAUAUAAAAAUCAGGGUCAGGAAGCCUAGGUGGCUCAGUCAGUUGGGCAGCCAACUCUUGAUUUCAGCUGGGGUUGUGAUCUCAGGGUUAUGGAAUCAAACCCCUCAUUGGGCUCUGUGCUCAGCACAGCAUCUGUUUGUCCCUCUCCCUCUGCUCCUCCGCAGCUCACAUUCUCUUUUGCUCACUCUCUCUCUCUCUUUCUCUCUCUCUCAAGUAAAUUAACAAAUAAAAUCCUUUAAAAAAAUAGAAAGUCGGGGGAUCCCUGGGUGGCUCAGCAGUUUAGCACCUGCCUUUGGCCCAGGGCGUGAUCCUGGAGUCUCAGGAUCAAGUCCUGCAUCGGGGUCCUGGCAUGGAGCUUGCUUCUCCCUCCUCCUAUGUCUCUG